AAAAAAAUCCUUAAAUGCCCAUCAGUAAGUGAAAGAAGCCGAUCUGAAAAGACUACAUACUGUUAUCAGCCUUUUGCCAAGCUGAACACAAGGGGAUGAAAGGAAAAUCUGGGCUCGAAUGUGCAAUUUCAUAUUUUAUGUUAAGGCAAUUUACAACAUAUCAUAAAGCUGCAUUAAUAAACAGAUGUUCCACAGUCUGCAGAAUAUAAAAUAAAUGUCUUGAAUAAGCUACGAAGACCAAGGCACUUUUUUGAGCAGAUUUUUUUGUCUUAAAGUUUUAUCUCAUGCAAACACUGCAUAUAACAGGAACUUACAUAAUCAAUGCUUUUAGCAACAUGUCAUAGUAGAACCAAGGCCCAGCUGUUAGCUGAAAUCUAUAUAAAUAUAUGCAGCAGUAGGACUGACUGGAGCCAUUGUACAGUGUCGGGAACACACCAGGACACUGAGAAUAGCGUCAUGUCAUAAAAACUCAGAGCAGAUGGACCCUGCUGUGAUGCACAAAGAGGACUAUGCAAGAUAUGAUAAAGAUCUAUGUCACUGAAUUUUUGGUUCUAUAUUUGUAUCUCAGCUUCCUGGAAAUAAAAAAGAAUUCUAACAUUCAUACUUUCAGUAUUUUAUGUGAGAGGUUUUGUUGUCAAAAUCAAGUCUGAGAGCAAUGUUUAUUGGGGCCUUUAAUUGGAGUCACCAAGCGAUAAAGGGGACAUUGUCUUCAACAAUAACCCUGUAAUAAACACGUUUUGGACAAUAAAUAUAUGACAAUUUCUUAAAAGCAAUUUCUUGGGCAAUCAAGACAAUAUGGCUUGAGUAUGGAGUUAUAUGAUGGUCUGGAUUAAUCAAGUAUUAAAUCUCUGGUUAUUACAGAAAUCAAUGGAGACUAUUCUUCCAAAUAAUCCUUAAAUAUUACUUAUCUCAACUGAGAUUUUGGUGAAAAUUUAGCUUUAGAGCUUUUAUUGACCUGCCAGUGACCUGAAGUUAAGAUUAUUCUUUUCUACUGAAUGAAGACAAACCACCUUAUACAAAUCAACCCAGA
rnacentral:lncRNA from 1 species